GCACUCAUCGCCUAAACGGAAUAAGGCUUCGGAUUUGUAACCCGAGGAUGCGGAAUCAUACUCCGCUGAGUGCUCCA
rnacentral:tRNA from 1 species